CAGGCAGCUCAGACGGCGCUGGGCAGACGGGCAGCUCAGAUGACGCUGGGUAGGCGGGCAGCUCAAACGGCGCUGGGCAGACGGACAGCGCAGGCGGCGCUGGGCAGACGGCAGACUCUGGCCGGCUGAGGCGCACAGUAGGCCUGGUACGUGGUGCCGGAACUGGUGGUACCGGGCUAAGGACACCCACCUCAAUGCUAGUGCGGGGAGCAGCAACAGGGUGCACAGGGCUCUGGAGAUGCACAGGAGGCUUGGUGCGUGGUGCCGGAACUGGUGGUACCGGGCUGGAGACACGCACCACAGGGCGAGUGCGUGGAGGAGGAACAGGGCUCUGGAGACGCACUGGAAGCCUGUUGCGUGGUGUAGGCACUGGUGGUACUGGGCUGGGGCGAGGAGGUGGCGCCGGAUAUACCGGACCGUGAAGGCGUACAGGAGCUCUUAAGCACCGAGCCUGCCCAACCUUACCUGGUUUAAUGCUCCCCGUAGCCAGGCCAAUGCGGCGAGGUGGAAUAGCCCGCACUGGGCUGGCGAACCGGGGACACCAAGCGUAAGGCUAGUGCCAUGUACACCGGCCCGAGGAGACGUACUGGAGGCCAGAUACGUUGAGCCGGCUUCAUGGCACCUGGCUCGAUGCCCACUCUAGCCCGGCCGACACGUGGAGCUGGAAUGUACCGCACCGGGCUAAGCACACGUACAGGGGACACCGUGCGCUCUUCGCAUAACACUGUGUCUGCCCGUACUCUUGCUCUCCACGGUAAUCACGGGGAGUUGGCGCAGGUCUCCUACCUGACUUCGCCACACUCCCUUUUAGCCACCCCCCCCCAAGAAAUUUUUGGGGCUGGCUCUCAGGCUUCCAGCCUCGCUUCCGUGCCUCCUCAUACCACCGCCUCUCGGAUUUAGCAGCCUCCAGCUCUUCACGAGGGGGGCGAUAUUCACCCGGUUGUGCCCAGGGUCCUCCGCUGUCCAGAAUUUCCUCCCAAUUCCAUAAGUCCUGCGAUCGCUGCUCCUGCUGCUGCUGCCGCUUACCACGCUGCAUGGUCCGAGUGUGGUGCGUGAUUCUGUCACGAUCGUCGUAUUGUGGAAGAGAGGAGGACCAAGGCGCAGCGUGAUAACAAUACAUCUUCUCUUUAUUUGAAGACGAAAACGAAACGAAACGACACUGACAAACUAAACAAAACAACAAACCGACGAACGUGAAGCUAUAUAAACAAUAAGUGCAGACACAGGCAACUUAGACAUAGACAAUCACCCACAACCUACCUAAUGACUAUGGCUGCCUAAAUAUGGCUCCCAAUCAGAGACAACGAUAGACAGCUGUCUCUAAUUGAGAACCAAUCUAGGCAACCAUAGACUUACAUAAACACCUACAAUGAACACAACCCCAUGAACUCUACAAACACCCCCUAGACAAUACAAACACCCUAGACGAGACAAAAACACACAAACAUCCCCCAUGUCACACCCUGACCUAACUAAAAUAAUAAAGAAAACAUAGAUAACUAAGGCCAGGGCGUGACAUGUGGCCCAUUGGUAGAUUGGCAUUAUACAUCAUUGUAUGUUAUCCAAAAUAGUAAAAUAUGUUGGUAUUACCACAGGGUCAACUAGUAUUUAUUUCUCUCUCUCUUGCCCUCUCCCCCUCGUUCUCUCUCCCCCUCUCUCACACUCCUUUAGAGGAAAGACACUUCUUUAUUUCUCUCACACUCUCUCUCUCUCGUGUUUUUCAAAUCGCGAGAGCACCCAACAGAGUAAAGCCUUCAUAUAUUAACAUUAUUGGAAUGCUUUUUAUGAGUUUUUUUUCUUUCUUACCAAGGAUAUUGAUGAGAUUGUCAGCAAACCAAACACCGAUAAAAUAGCAACACGGUUCACAUGGGCCCAGGUGAGUGAUAGACAGUAGAGAAAGCUAAAUAAAUAAAGUUGUAUGACAUGAAAUAAUCAAAGUUAACUGACUUAUUUAACUUAAAGACAGACAAACAAAUUAAUGACAAAAUGCACACUACUGAAAACACUCUUACCCUCCCUCUCUCUCUCUAUCAUUCUCAUUUCAUGUUUCCGUCAUGUGUGUUGUGGCUUUCUUAUAGGUUAUAUUGUAGUAUUAGAAAACUAAAAUCAAACUCAACGUACAUAAAGCGUAUAAUAUUGUUUCCUGUCAUUUGUAGGACAGUGUCCCUCAAGAAACAGAGGACGUGUGGAGUCACGUCUCGAUUCUCUCCUUUGCUUUGAGACGAGACACUACUGGUGUGUUGGUGGAAGACUUCCUGACACUUCUACGGUUACAUUCUGCAGGGACAAGUGCAGUUCCAGCAAUUGUUCUCAGGUGAUAGGUCAGUGUGUGCAAAGAGAACACAUUUGACCAGGUGGAGUCAAGCUUCUACCUAUGUACUUCAUCGCCCUGGACCUCUACACCAGCGAGGCAGAGGACACCAAGUUUGGACCAAUUAUGCUAAUGCCCCGCUUUAAGAACCUGGAGAUCUUCACUGGUGACUUGGCCACAAACUGUACCCGGGACACCUUCCAUCGCCACCACUGUCUGAAAAACUGUGUGUACUGAUUCAGUUCUAAAUGACCAUCAUUGAGUCCAUCCUCACCUCCUCCAUCACCGCAAUGGAUUGUCCAGUCUGCUGAGAGGUUCAUUGGGUGCCACCUGCCCUCCAUCGAUGACCUGCACGACUCAAGAGCAAGGAAUCUUGCAGGGAAGAUCAUUUGCCGACCCCUUUCGCCCCCUCUUCCAAAGACUCUCUUCUGGCAAACGGUUCAGGUCAAUCACGGCCAAAACCUCCCACCACCUGAACAGUGUCUUCUGUGGCCCUCAACAAUCGGCCACCUGGUCUGCGAUAAUCCUGUCAUCCAUGGAUUUUGUACUAUUCAUCCACAGACUAUGCACCCUGCAUGAUCAUCCCAGAACUGCAGAUUUUAUAAUGUAGCUUAAGGUGUUCAUAGUGUACAUAUACUGUAUGUGGAUCUGUGGACAAUCUGCAUCUGUAUAUUGUUUUGGCUGUAUAUUCUGUAUAUCGUCUGUCUGUAUAUUCUGUUUAUUGUUGCAGCACCAUUUCAUAGAGUCCUGUGCAUGCACAUAUAUUUGCAGAAUAAAGCUGAUUCUGACAUGUUAACCUAGUUUAGCUGGUUAAUCCUAUGUCAGUUUACAAUCUA